rnacentral:rRNA from 1 species
CUGCAGUCGAGCGGAAGGCCCCUUCGGGGGUACUCGAGCGGCGAACGGGUGAGUAACACGUGAGCAACCUGCCCCUGACUCUGGGAUAAGCCCGGGAAACUGGGUCUAAUACCGGAUAUGACCACUCCAGGCAUCUGGUGGUGGUGGAAAGUUUUUCGGUUGGGGAUGGGCUCGCGGCCUAUCAGCUUGUUGGUGGGGUGAUGGCCUACCAAGGCGACGACGGGUAACCGGCCUGAGAGGGCGACCGGUCACACUGGGACUGAGACACGGCCCAGACUCCUACGGGAGGCAGCAGUGGGGAAUAUUGCGCAAUGGGCGGAAGCCUGACGCAGCGACGCCGCGUGGGGGAUGACGGCCUUCGGGUUGUAAACCCCUUUCAGCAGGGACGAAGCUAACGUGACGGUACCUGCAGAAGAAGCGCCGGCUAACUACGUGCCAGCAGC